ensembl:lncRNA
CCUCAUCACAACCCUCCCUGGUGACCAGGCUUCAUAGAGGGCAUCACAACCUCCCUGGUGACCAGGCUUCAUAGAGGGCAUCACAACCCUCCCCGGUGACCAGGCUUCAUAGAGGGCAUCACAACCCUCCCUGGUGACCAGGCUUCAUAGAGGGCAUCACAACCCUCCCCGGUGACCAGGCUUCAUAGAGGGCAUCACAACCCUCCCUGGUGACCAGGCUUCAUAGAGGGCAUCACAACCCUCCUCCAUGCCCAUAAGGGAAUGUUGCUGUCUGUCAAGUCGACGAUCAAUAGAAACACAAGGGUUAUUAAUAUAUCAUCAGAAAGACUGCGAUCAUUGAUCCUUCCACAGAAAGAUUUCCCUACUGAGGGAUUGAGGCCAACGUUAAUGUCCAGGAGGAUAUUGAUUGGAUACAAAGGUCUAUGAUAGAUGUAGGUUGUGUGCCAUUUAGGAUGCUAUUUAGGAUGACAUUUAGAAUGCUAUUCAGGAUGCUAUUUAGGGUGCUAUUUAGGAUGCCAUUUAGGGUGCUAUUUAGGGUGCUAUUUAGGAUGCUAUUUAGGAUGAAUUACAUAUAAAAGCUACAAAAUGUCAUUCUCCAUAUGAAAUGCGGAUGGUAUUUGCUAUGGAAAUUAUCUACUGCCAUACACUGUAUGAAGUAUGCAUUCAGCAUUCUCAUACGGGAGGUUCAUCCAGGGAAUCUGUCACAACAUUCUCAUACGGGAGGUUCAUCCAGGGAAUCUGUCACAACAUUCUCUUACAGGAGGUUCAUCCAGGGAAUCUGUCACAACAUUCUCUUACGGAAGGUUCUUCCAGGGAAUCUGUCACAACAUUCUCUUACGGAAGGUUCAUCCAGGGAAUCUGUCACAACAUUCUCUUACGGGAGGUUCUUCCAGGGAAUCUGUCACAACAUUCUCUUACGGGAGGUUCUUCCAGGGAAUCUGUCACAACAUUCUCUUAUGGAAGGUUCUUCCAGGGAAUCUGUCACAACAUUCUCUUACGGAAGGUUCUUCCAGGGAAUCUGUCACAACAUUCUCUUACGGAAGGUUCUUCCAGGGAAUCUGUCACAACAUUCUCUUACGGAAGGUUCUUCCAGGGAAUCUGUCACAACAUUCUCUUACGGAAGGUUCUUCCAGGGAAUCUGUCACAACAUUCUCUUACGGAAGGUUCUUCC